rnacentral:rRNA from 1 species
CCUACGGGAGGCAGCAGUGAGGAAUAUUGGUCAAUGGCCGAGAGGCUGAACCAGCCAAGUCGCGUGAGGGAAGACGGCCCUACGGGUUGUAAACCUCUUUUGUCGGGGAGCAAAGAGAGUCACGUGUGACUCAUUGAGAGUACCCGAAGAAAAAGCAUCGGCUAACUCCGUGCCAGCAGCCGCGGUAAUACGGAGGAUGCGAGCGUUAUCCGGAUUUAUUGGGUUUAAAGGGAGCGUAGGCCGGUCUUUAAGCGUGCCGUGAAAUUUUGUGGCUCAACCAUGAGAGUGCGGGGCGAACUGGAGACCGUGAGUGCGCGGAAGGCAGGCGGAAUUCGUGGUGUAGCGGUGAAAUGCUUAGAUAUCACGAAGAACCCCGAUUGCGAAGGCAGCCUGCCGCAGCGUUACUGACGCUGAAGCUCGAAAGCGCGGGUAUCGAACAGGAUUAGAUACCCGGGUAGUC